ensembl:piRNA 21ur-2233 ncRNA
UGUGCUGUGAUUUUGUGUGCU